rnacentral:rRNA from 1 species
UACGUAGGGUGCGAGCGUUGUCCGGAAUUAUUGGGCGUAAAGAGCUUGUAGGCGGUCUGUCGCGUCUGCUGUGAAAAUCCGGGGCUCAACCCCGGACUUGCAGUGGGUACGGGCAGACUAGAGUGUGGUAGGGGAGACUGGAAUUCCUGGUGUAGCGGUGAAAUGCGCAGAUAUCAGGAGGAACACCGGUGGCGAAGGCGGGUCUCUGGGGCAGUAACUGACGCUGAGGAGCGAAAGCGUGGGGAGCGAACAGG